UACGUAGGGGGCAAGCGUUGUCCGGAUUUAUUGGGCGUAAAGAGCGUGUAGGCGGCCAUACAGGUCCGUUGUGAAAACUGGAGGCUUAACCUCCAGACGUCGAUGGAAACCGUAUGGCUAGAGUCCGGAAGAGGAGAGUGGAAUUCCUGGUGUAGCGGUGAAAUGCGCAGAUAUCAGGAAGAACACCCGUGGCGAAGGCGGCUCUCUGGGACGGUACUGUCGCUGAGACGCGAAAGCGUGGGGAGCGAACAGG
rnacentral:rRNA from 1 species